GGUCAAGUGAAGAAGCGCAUACGGUGGAUGCCUUGGCAGUCAGAGGCGAUGAAAGACGUGGUAGCCUGCGAAAAGCUUCGGGGAGUCGGCAAACAGACUGUGAUCCGGAGAUGUCUGAAUGGGGGAACCCAGCCAUCAUAAGAUGGUUAUCUUACACUGAAUACAUAGGUGUAAGAGGCGAACCAGGGGAACUGAAACAUCUAAGUACCCUGAGGAAAAGAAAUCAACCGAGAUUCCCUUAGUAGUGGCGAGCGAACGGGGACCAGCCCUUAAGUUGUAUUGAGAUUAGCGGAACGCUCUGGAAAGUGCGGCCAUAGUGGGUGAUAGCCCUGUACGCGAAAAUCCCUUUGCAAUGAAAUCGAGUAGGACGGGGCACGAGAAACCUUGUCUGAAUAUGGGGGGACCAUCCUCCAAGGCUAAAUACUACUGACUGACCGAUAGUGAACCAGUACCGUGAGGGAAAGGCGAAAAGAACCGCGGAGAGCGGAGUGAAAUAGAUCCUGAAACCGUAUGCGUACAAGCAGUGGGAGCCCACUUUGUUGGGUGACUGCGUACCUUUUGUAUAAUGGGUCAGCGACUUAUUUUCAGUGGCGAGCUUAACCGAAUAGGGGAGGCGUAGCGAAAGCGAGUCUUAAUAGGGCGUCUAGUCGCUGGGAAUAGACCCGAAACCGGGCGAUCUAUCCAUGGGCAGGUUGAAGGUUGGGUAACACUAACUGGAGGACCGAACCGACUACCGUUGAAAAGUUAGCGGAUGACCUGUGGAUCGGAGUGAAAGGCUAAUCAAGCUCGGAGAUAGCUGGUUCUCCUCGAAAGCUAUUUAGGUAGCGCCUCAUGUAUCACUGUAGGGGGUAGAGCACUGUUUCGGCUAGGGGGUCAUCCCGACUUACCAAACCGAUGCAAACUCCGAAUACCUACAAGUGCCGAGCAUGGGAGACACACGGCGGGUGCUAACGUCCGUCGUGAAAAGGGAAACAACCCAGACCGUCAGCUAAGGUCCCAAAGUCAUGGUUAAGUGGGAAACGAUGUGGGAAGGCUUAGACAGCUAGGAGGUUGGCUUAGAAGCAGCCACCCUUUAAAGAAAGCGUAAUAGCUCACUAGUCGAGUCGGCCUGCGCGGAAGAUGUAACGGGGCUCAAACCAUGCACCGAAGCUACGGGUAUCAUCUUAUGAUGAUGCGGUAGAGGAGCGUUCUGUAAGCCUGUGAAGGUGAGUUGAGAAGCUUGCUGGAGGUAUCAGAAGUGCGAAUGCUGACAUGAGUAACGACAAUGGGUGUGAAAAACACCCACGCCGAAAGACCAAGGUUUCCUGCGCAACGUUAAUCGACGCAGGGUUAGUCGGUCCCUAAGGCGAGGCUGAAAAGCGUAGUCGAUGGAAAACAGGUUAAUAUUCCUGUACUUCUGGUUAUUGCGAUGGAGGGACGGAGAAGGCUAGGCCAGCCUGGCGUUGGUAGUCCAGGUUUAAGGUGGUAGGCUGAGAUCUUAGGUAAAUCCGGGAUCUUAAGGCCGAGAGCUGAUGACGAGUGUUCUUUUAGAACAUGAAGUGGUUGAUGCCAUGCUUCCAAGAAAAGCUUCUAAGCUUCAGGUAACCAGGAACCGUACCCCAAACCGACACAGGUGGUUGGGUAGAGAAUACCAAGGCGCUUGAGAGAACUCGGGUGAAGGAACUAGGCAAAAUGGCACCGUAACUUCGGGAGAAGGUGCGCCGGUGAGGGUGAAGCAUUUACUGCGUAAGCCCACGCCGGUCGAAGAUACCAGGCCGCUGCGACUGUUUAUUAAAAACACAGCACUCUGCAAACACGAAAGUGGACGUAUAGGGUGUGACGCCUGCCCGGUGCCGGAAGGUUAAUUGAUGGGGUUAGCGCAAGCGAAGCUCUUGAUCGAAGCCCCGGUAAACGGCGGCCGUAACUAUAACGGUCCUAAGGUAGCGAAAUUCCUUGUCGGGUAAGUUCCGACCUGCACGAAUGGCGUAACGAUGGCGGCGCUGUCUCCACCCGAGACUCAGUGAAAUUGAAAUCGCUGUGAAGAUGCAGUGUAUCCGCGGCUAGACGGAAAGACCCCGUGAACCUUUACUAUAGCUUUGCACUGGACUUUGAAUUUGCUUGUGUAGGAUAGGUGGGAGGCUUUGAAGCGUGGACGCCAGUCUGCGUGGAGCCAACCUUGAAAUACCACCCUGGCAACUUUGAGGUUCUAACUCAGGUCCGUUAUCCGGAUCGAGGACAGUGUAUGGUGGGUAGUUUGACUGGGGCGGUCUCCUCCUAAAGAGUAACGGAGGAGUACGAAGGUGCGCUCAGACCGGUCGGAAAUCGGUCGUAGAGUAUAAAGGCAAAAGCGCGCUUGACUGCGAGACAGACACGUCGAGCAGGUACGAAAGUAGGUCUUAGUGAUCCGGUGGUUCUGUAUGGAAGGGCCAUCGCUCAACGGAUAAAAGGUACUCCGGGGAUAACAGGCUGAUACCGCCCAAGAGUUCAUAUCGACGGCGGUGUUUGGCACCUCGAUGUCGGCUCAUCACAUCCUGGGGCUGAAGCCGGUCCCAAGGGUAUGGCUGUUCGCCAUUUAAAGUGGUACGCGAGCUGGGUUUAGAACGUCGUGAGACAGUUCGGUCCCUAUCUGCCGUGGACGUUUGAGAUUUGAGAGGGGCUGCUCCUAGUACGAGAGGACCGGAGUGGACGAACCUCUGGUGUUCCGGUUGUCACGCCAGUGGCAUUGCCGGGUAGCUAUGUUCGGAAAAGAUAACCGCUGAAAGCAUCUAAGCGGGA
rnacentral:rRNA from 1 species